AAAAAAAGACAAACGCCCUUCGAUCUCCUUCCUCGGCCCCUCGAUCGUCGUCUGUCCGCUGUGGUAUUCAUCGUCCGUCGUCCGCGUCAUCGUCCCGGCCUUCUCCGAUCGUCGUCUGUCCGCCGCGCAGGCCAUCCGUCCGUCAGCUCGCCGUCUGCCUCGCCACUCUCGCUGUUGGGUGUUCACACGGGGAGCAUUUUCUUCCUGUGAAUAUAAUGCGAAUUUCAUCAAAAUUUCCCAUCUUCUUUUUUCCUUCAACGAGUCGUUUUCAGUAAAAAAUUCCCCUUUUUUCUCAGCUUCUUCUGAGCUUUUUCACAAUUCGCGUCCCUAUUUCGAGUGAGGAAAAUGCAGUUAAGGAAAGCUUUCGAGCUUUGAUGGGGUGUAGGGCUUUGAAUUUUACUUGAAUUUUGAAAUACGGAAGAACACAGGCUUUUGGUGCGGAGAUGUCGAAUGGAAGGAUGCCUCACUUCCUCCAUGGCUUUAAUCCUUCGAUCAGCUCUGAGAAAUUGAGCUGGAAUAAUGAUAAAGUUGAAGAUGGGAUGGAAAAGGUAACAUCUAUAGUAAAAGGGCUGCGGUCAAAGAGGGCAUUGCUACCUCCAAAAGAAAGAUUUGAAAGGUGAUGACUUCUGAUUCUAUCAUCACUUGAUAAAAGCUAUUUCAAUGUUGGUUUGAGACUUAAUUCUAAUUUGUUAUUUUGAGCUCAACUUCCUGAAUUUAUGCAGAGUUCUGUGCUUGCCUUGGAAGAUUCGACAAUAGAUGCUGAUCAAGUUGAGAACAUCAUUAUGUUUUGCCCAACAAAGGAGGAGAUUGAAAUGCUUAUGGUAAAAAAAUGUUUUAGAUUUAUUAGCUAUUU